rnacentral:rRNA from 1 species
AGAGUUUGAUCCUGGCUCAGAUUGGACGCUGGCGGCAUGCUUUACACAUGCAAGUCGGACGGCAGCACAGAGAAGCUUGCUUCUUGGGUGGCGAGUGGCGAACGGGUGAGUAACAUAUCGGAACGUACCGAGUAAUGGGGGAUAACUAAUCGAAAGAUUAGCUAAUACCGCAUAUUCUCUGAGGAGGAAAGCAGGGGACCUUCGGGCCUUGCGUUAUUCGAGCGGCCGAUAUCUGAUUAGCUAGUUGGUGGGGUAAAGGCCUACCAAGGCGACGAUCAGUAGCGGGUCUGAGAGGAUGAUCCGCCACACUGGGACUGAGACACGGCCCAGACUCCUACGGGAGGCAGCAGUGGGGAAUUUUGGACAAUGGGCGCAAGCCUGAUCCAGCCAUGCCGCGUGUCUGAAGAAGGCCUUCGGGUUGUAAAGGACUUUUGUCAGGGAAGAAAAGGCUGUUGCUAAUAUCGACAGUUGAUGACGGUACCUGAAGAAUAAGCACCGGCUAACUACGUGCCAGCAGCCGCGGUAAUACGUAGGGUGCGAGCGUUAAUCGGAAUUACUGGGCGUAAAGCGAGCGCAGACGGUUACUUAAGCAGGAUGUGAAAUCCCCGGGCUCAACCUGGGAACUGCGUUCUGAACUGGGUGACUAGAGUGUGUCAGAGGGAGGUAGAAUUCCACGUGUAGCAGUGAAAUGCGUAGAGAUGUGGAGGAAUACCGAUGGCGAAGGCAGCCUCCUGGGAUAACACUGAUGUUCAUGCUCGAAAGCGUGGGUAGCAAACAGGAUUAGAUACCCUGGUAGUCCACGCCCUAA